rnacentral:rRNA from 1 species
UACGAAGGGGGCUAGCGUUGCUCGGAAUCACUGGGCGUAAAGGGUGCGUAGGCGGGUCUUUAAGUCAGGGGUGAAAUCCUGGAGCUCAACUCCAGAACUGCCUUUGAUACUGAGGAUCUUGAGUACGGGAGAGGUGAGUGGAACUGCGAGUGUAGAGGUGAAAUGCGUAGAGAUCAGGAAGAACACCCGUGGCGCAAGCGACCACCUGGCCGAGACCUGACGCUGAGGCACGAGAGCGUGGGGAGCGAACCGG